rnacentral:rRNA from 1 species
AUUGAACGCUGGCGGAAUGCUUUACACAUGCAAGUCGAGCGGCAGCACGGGGGCAACCCUGGUGGCGAGCGGCGAACGGGUGAGUAAUACAUCGGAACAUGCCCAGUCGUGGGGGAUAACACUUCGAAAGAAGUGCUAAUACCGCAUACGUCCUGAGGGAGAAAGCGGGGGAUCUUCGGACCUCGCGCGAUUGGAGUGGCCGAUGUCAGAUUAGCUAGUUGGUGGGGUAAAGGCCUACCAAGGCAACGAUCUGUAGCUGGUCUGCGAGGAUGAACAGCAACACUGGGACUGAGACACGUCCCAGAAUCCUACGGGAGGCAGCAGUGGGGAAUUUUGGACACUUGGAGGAACCCUAUUCCAGCCAUUACGCGUGAGUGAAGAAGGCCUUCGGGUCGUAAAGCUCUUUCGGAAGAAACGAAACGGCGAUCUCAAACAUAGCUUGCUAAUGACGGUACCUGGAGAAGAAGCACCGGCUAACUACGUGCCAGCACCCACAGUAAAAC